AGCUUGAAAGACUAUUUUGGGUUAAAGCCAAUUCCAUCAGCUCCAAAAUAGCCAAAUUAGGCUAGAAGCGUGGCUGGCUCAAUACCCAAGGCUUUUGGUGCGAGUUUAAACCAUUUUUAGUGUUUCAGCUUCAUAAACUAGUCAAUAGUUGACUUUAGUCAACAUUCUUGGGAAAUGUAUCCGGAUGAAAAUUCUGAUAGCGCAGUUAGCUCCAAAAUGUCGAGUUUAGUCUAGAACAACCUUUCAUUCGAUUUUCGAGCUUCCGGGUUCAUUUUGACCCCCUUGGUGGAUUUCUGUAUUCGAAGGUGAGACCAACAUUUGAUUGUAACAACCUCUGAUAGGAAUUUAUACUACACCGUUGAGUCCGUAAUGUUGUUUUCAAUCAGAUUUCAUAUACGGUUUGUAUUUUUCCGACUCCAUAUGAGUCGAAGCAUCAAUACCAAAAACUCAUUGUUUGCUGAAUUUGGUGCACGAUCGUGAUGACGUGGCAGUAGUAUAUAUAGGUGAAAUUUCCAGAUUUAUCCCAAACAUUUCCCCCAACUUUGGCUUGCGAUUUUGAGAGUAAUUUUGAUCCGAUUGGAGUGAUUCCAGAGGCUAUAUUGCAUGGAAUUUCAAGGAGAACAUUGUGAAGAUUUCGAAAACUGCUUUUGACAUGUACUUUGAGAUUUCAGUGAAUUUUGGGCCUAAAUUGAAUAACAUUUUGAGGCGAUCGCCGUGGUGUGGUCUGAUUUUGCUGGUGGUACUACGUUAAGGAUCGAGCACGAGCCAGCAACGUUGAUUCCCCCUGCGUAGUUGUCUGUUCCGGAGACUUGUGGUGAGCAUCGGUAUUCUUGGAUCCUUUCAGUCUCCAUCUACAUUAUGGCCUGUCUUUUUUUUUUUAUCAAAGACUAGCAUGUAUAUUUGUUUUAUUUUGUAUAUGUAUAUAUAUUAUUCUGGUUCAGUUGUGGUGUAUCUUGUCUAUAGUAGCUCUGUACAGGUGACUUUCAAGUUUUGGGAGAGAGGUUUUGUAGUUGUUUGUACCUAAAUAGCAUCAGCUCUUGCUUUUAUUGUAGACAGGUUGCCUAUUGACUUUUUUCGGUUAUAUGUUACCCUCACACUCGCUACUAGCCGUUUUGGCUUUGGGUUGGUUUGCCUAUCGGUGGGUAUGAGAUAGGCGCCAUCAUGACCUGUAAAGUCGGAUUGUGACAAUUAGCUCAUUUGUUAAAUACAUCAAGAUAGAGAGAAAAAAUAUUAGAGAGCAAAGUGAGGUAUACCAUAGACUAUACA